GCAGUGGUGGUGCAGGGGUACGAUUCCUGCCUUCUGUGCAGGAGACCUGGGUUUGAUUCCCAGCCAACGCG
rnacentral:tRNA from 1 species